UACGUAGGGAGCGAGCGUUGUUCCGGAUUCAUUGGGCGUAAAGAGCUCGUAGGCGGUUCAGUAAGUCGGGUGUGAAAUCUCCGUGACUCAACACGGAGCGGCCACCUGAUACUGCUGUGACUCGAGUCCGGUAGGGGAGUGAUGGAAUUCCCGGUGUAGCGGUGAAAUGCGCAGAUAUCGGGAGGAACACCAGAGCGAAGGCGGCACUCUGGGCCGUGACGUGACGCUGA
rnacentral:rRNA from 1 species